UUACAGCAUCACACAUUGCUUGGUCAGGA
rnacentral:piRNA from 1 species